rnacentral:rRNA from 1 species
UGAAUACGAGACGCUAAGGCGUCGAAGUAGUGUAUGUCAUACUUCCAAGAAAAGCUUGCACUGUCAUAGAUAAAAAACGCCUGUACCAUAACCGACACAGGUGUUAGGUAGAGUAUACUAAGGGGCGCGAGAUAACUCUCUCUAAGGAACUCGGCAAAAUAACUCCGUAACUUCGGGAGAAGGAGUGCCUUAUUCGUAAGGUUGCAAUAACAAGAUCCAAGCAACUGUUUAUCAAAAACACAGGUCUCCGCUAAGUCGUAAGACGAUGUAUGGGGGCUGACGCCUGCCCAGUGCCAGAAGGUUAAAGAAGUUGGUUAGCAAUUGCGAAGCUGAUAACUGAAGCCCUGGUGAACGGCGGCCGUAACUAUAACGGUCCUAAGGUAGCGAAAUUCCUUGUCGGGUAAGUUCCGACCCGCACGAAAGGCGUAAUGAUUUGGAUACUGUCUCGGAGAGGGGCUCGGUGAAAUAGACUUGUCUGUGAAGAUGCGGACUACCUGCACCAGGACAGAAAGACCCUAUGAAGCUUUACUGUAACUUGAAAUUGAAAUUGGACUUUAUUCGCGCAGCAUAGGUGGGAGGCGUUGAUUAUAAUCUUGCGGGAUUAUUGGAGCCAUCAGUGAGAUACCACUCUUGUAAUGUUAGAUUUCUAACUUUGAAUCAUUAUCUGGUCAAAGAACAGUUUCAGGCGGGCAGUUUGACUGGGGCGGUCGCCUCCUAAACGGUAACGGAGGCGUACAAAGGUUUCCUCUGAACGGUUAGAAAUCGUAUCUAGAGUGUAAAGGCAUAAGGAAGCUUGACUGUGAGACCUACAAGUCGAGCAGGGACGAAAGUCGGUCUUAGUGAUCUGACGGUACUGAGUGGAAAGGCCGUCACUCAACGGAUAAAAGUUACUCUAGGAUAACAGGCUGAUCUCCCCCAAGAGUUCACAUCGACGGGGAGGUUUGGCACCUCGAUGUCGGCUCAUCGCAUCCUGGGGCGGUAGUACGUCCCAAGGGUUGGGCUGUUCGCCCAUGAAAGCGGUACGCGAGCUGGGUUCAGAACGUCGUGUGACAGUUCGGUCCAUAUCCGGUGUAGGCGUUAGAAUAUUGAGAGGAGCCUUCUUUAGUACGAGAGGACCGAGAAGGACAUACCUCUGGUGUACCAGUUAUCGUGCCAACGGUAAACGCUGGGUAGCUAUGUAUGGAGUGGAUAACCGCUGAAAGCAUCUAAGUGGGAAGCCCACCUCAAGAUAAGUAUUCUCC